GAUGAAGAACGCAGCGAAAUGCGAUAAGUAAUGUGAAUUGCAGAAUUCAGUGAAUCAUCGAAUCUUUGAACGCACAUUGCGCCCGUCAGUAUUCUGGCGGGCAAGCCUGUUCGAGCGUCAUUACGCCCCUCAAGUCCCCUGUGGACUUGGUGUUGGGGAUCGGCGAGGCUGGUUUUCCAGCACAGCCGUCCCUUAAAUUAAUUGGCGGUCUCGCCGUGGCCCUCCUCUGCGCAGUAGUAAAACACUCGCAACAGGAGCCCGGCGCGGUCCACUGCCGUAAAACCCCCCAACUUUUUAUAGUUGACCUCGAAUCAGGUAGGACUACCCGCUGAACUUAAGCAUAUCAAUAAGCGGAGGA
rnacentral:misc_RNA from 1 species